CAUCGCACGGUUCACGUUUUUCGUUUCCAUUUUUGUGCAUGUUUUUCUUCCCUUUUAUUUAGGUUUGAUCCACUUUCUAUUUUGAUCUAUAUAUAUAUAUGAAGCAACUACAACCCUAGACUAAGUGCCGCUCGGUUCCCUCUUCACAGAAGACCACGGUUUCUCUGCAAAACACCAAACUGAAGCCUCGGUCUGCAACAAUAGAUGGCCACCUGCAGAGCCACUUCCGUGCAGCAACUCCACCACACCAAGCGAAACCACGCCGGUAUCUAGGUCGUUCGGAGUCCAUCACCCCAACCGCACGCCACCUCAGUCUCACGGUGCUGCCAUCCAACGCACGUAGCCCCGGUUUCAAGCUCCGAAACACUCUGUUUUUGUUGUCAAAAAACAGAGCAUUGUCUAAGCCGCGGUGAUCACCCUCCAUUGUGCACUCCUCCGUGCUGCGCCUCCACAGAAACCACCGGCGAGGUCAUUCCUCCACCCAGGUCCGCCUCACGCUGCCUCAUCCCACGCUAGGAGCCACUCCACGCCGCCGUGUAUAUCCCCACCCUCCGUGACGAAUAAAUUUUCUUAGUUCGGCAUUUCUGAGGAAAUAUUUCGAAAAGCUAAGAAGUCCAGAUGAUAUUGAUUUCCCAGCUAGGGGUCGGGAAUAGAAUUGAAGCUGGCUAGAUAUGGAUGGAAGGAUUGGGUACUCUAGAGUACCAUUGUUAGUAGAUGGAUUUAACUUGAGCAUUUGAAGUACUUUACGUUGUUUGAACCUAUUGAUACCUAAAGGUGUAUUGUUAUAUUUUUGAGGUUAUUGGGAGAUUGUGGACCCCUUUUGGUUUAUGUUUUGUA